rnacentral:snRNA from 1 species
AUCGCUUCUCGGCCUUUUGGCUAAGAUCAAGGGUAGUAUCUGUUCUUAUCAGUUUAAAAUGCAUGGGAAAGAUAUAUAAGGAUAUGAGGAAAUGCUU